UUGAUUGAUUAUUCAUCAGCUCAGACGGCAUCGAUAAAAACAGGUUUUGGACGGGUCUCUGGCGGGCGCUCGGGAGCCCCGUUCAAGGGACCCCCGCCGGGGCUAAGCCCCAGGGCCCGCCAAAGCAAAAGGGAAGAUACACAAAGGGUGGAAAGGUACGGGGCAGAGCCCCUGGGGCGCGAAAGCCCCCCUCUCAAUAAUGAUCCUUCCGCAGGUUCACCUACGGAAA
rnacentral:misc_RNA from 1 species